CGAGGAGCUGCUGCCCGAGGACCCCGCGGCCAAGCCCCCUUGGCCCUCCACCUCCUCCUCCCUGCGCCGCCGCCUCAGCGUGCGCCUCGGCGAGAUUGGCGUGCGGGCCACCGCACCCGACGCCCACCACAAGUCGUCGUUCCACCACCGCCUGCCCCGCCGCGGCACCCGGACGACACCCUCGAACACUCCACGGUGCCCAACGCCGACGCGGAUACGGCCCCAGGCCCGGCCAGCGCCGCCCGCGCACGGCCUGGAUCCCAGCGCCUCACGGGGCUGACGGGUACGAGCUACGAGGAGGAGGGUCAGUACUACGAUGACACCGACCAAUUUGACUCCGCUGCGGCUAGGUCCCCGGUAAUCGCGGGGCUAGCGGCGACGAGUGGUGGCGCCCCACAAACGGCUCAACGGUGGCCACGAUGCUUGCGAUUAUUUUCUCAAGUUUUCAUAUACGUUUCUUAAAACAUUCCAGGCAUUGAUUUCCUUUAACAAUUUACAUGUCAUGUGUUUCAUACAAUGCACAAGUGGAACUGUUGUGGUCUUUAAUUUCUAUGUAUGAGGAGUACAUCAUCGACUCACUAUACUAGAUGCAGUUAACCUUCAUAGUUCCUUGUUGCAACUGUUGUUCAUGUGAAGCUUACCAUAUAUUAUGUUUCAGGUAGAAAAUUUGUUGGCUCAAGAUCAAUUGGGACUGUUUGGAUCGUUGAAUUUAGGAAUAUAUGAGGCAUUUGAAUUAAGAGAUGGAGGAUUUGCUAACGUUGCGAAAGGUUUGCAAAAUGAUGGUGAUAUGCGAUGCUGGAGCAAGGAGCAGAGAGAUUUCAAAGGGACGUGCUGACGCAACACGCAGGUGGAUCUGACGAGUGGAGCGAACAGAUGUUGCGGAUGGAAGCAAGAGAAACUUAAGCUGCUGAUAAUGAAGAUGAAAGAACAAAUGAAGCUGCUAUGGAGGAAAAUUAAAGCAAACUGAAGAGUAUAUAAAGGGAAAGGGAACAAAAAGAAAAAAUAAGCAAUGUUUUGAUGCGUGUGGGGGAGUUUUGCUACUGAAGCUUGCAGCAUUGGAGUGUCCAGCAAUCAAGAGGAACUUUUGUUGUGUUAUUGACUUUGCGUUGGUUUUUGAGUUGUUGGCCUACGAUUUAGACUAGCUAGCUCUUUGGUUCUCAUCGGUUGUCGUUUUACUUGUGCUGUUUAGCAUUUUGCGGCAGCUGACUUCUUUAUCUUUGUAGCACCUGGAUGCUGUUACUUUUGUUCCGUUAUCGUCUGAUAGUGGAACCCAGUCCCUUGUUUUGGGUGUCAUAUGGAAAAAAACAUGGAUAGCGUGAGGGCCUGAGAAAACCUGUUGUCCUUGGGAGAUGCCAGGGAGUAUUCUUCAACAGUUGAUAGUUUUACUUGCAUUUUAGCAAGCUCAGUCUUUUUGGUAUACCUUUCUAUCAUCUGCUAUCCAGUUAUUAGAGGUGUGAUGUGUUAAUUCUCUGAGCACGCCAAGUUGUUCUUGGAAGUUACAACUGAAGGGCUUGGUUUUCCAGAUGAGUAAAAAAUGACAGAGCUCUUUUUUCUCAGAAUGUUAUCUUUGUAGUGGCCUGUUCAGAAACAAGUAAUGGUCACUGCCAUUUUUGUAUUUGAGUACUGUUUGUAGUUUAUAUGUAUCAAUGUAUGAAUUCAAUGAAAACAUAUGUGUUAUGUUGUGAUU